CCCUUAGAUGUCCUGGGCUGCACGCGCGCUACACUGAUGUGUCCAGUAAGCACCUAACCUCUUCCGAAAGGAACGGGUAACCUUUGCAAAGCACAUCGUGAUGGGGAUAGAUUAUUGCAAUUAUUAGUCUUGAACGAGGAAUUCCUAGUAAGCACAAGUCAUUAGCUUGUGCUGAAUACGUCCCUGCCCUUUGUACACACCGCCCGUCGCUCCUACCGAUUGAGUGCUCCGGUGAACAAUUUGGACUGCUUUGAUUCGAUUAGAAUUUGAAGCGGAAAGUUUAGUGAACCUUAUAACUUAGAGGAAGGAGAAGUCGUAACA
rnacentral:rRNA from 1 species